rnacentral:lncRNA from 7 species
GUGGACUUCACACGGAAGAGAAGGCUGGGAGAAGUUGUGGCAAAAUGCAGAAAAAAUGGAUAUGGGACUUUGAUCUUCUGGCAGUGGACCAAGAAUACUCCUCCACAACUUUGAGCAGGGAUGUCCUGAGGCCAAGCAAAUAUUUCAGAAGCUUGUAGGAGGUACUCAUUUGUGACCCCACUCACAGCAUUUUAUAAAAUUGAGCUAGGAGCAUCAGACUGGAGCAGUCAGGUAGCACAGUUUACUUCAGUUCAAGAAGCUACUUAUGUCAUGCUGAACCUACUGAGCUUCCAUGUGUCUCACUUGUGUUGUGUUGAACCCAGCCAGCAACUAAUCACCUACCUCACUGCUCAUCCACUUGCUGUCUCAGCAGGAUGGAGGAGAGACACUUUGUGGGUCAAGACAAAGGCAGUUUAAUAAGAUAGAGAAAAAAGAAGUACUGCAAAGGUGAAAAUUUACCGGUUUCUACAAGCAAGACUCACUGGCACCCAAUCAGUCUCCGAGCAGUAACUACUGUGGAAAAACUAUACCCUUGUUUUUUAUUGGUGAAUAUCAUGUUAUGCAGCUUGUAAUAUCCCUUUGGUCAGUUCAGCUCAGCUAUGUCCCCUCACAAACUCUUGCCUGUAUCCCAUCUAGUCACUGUGGGGACAGAGUAAGAAACUGUCAGAGAAGGGAUUGAUGUUCUGCAUGCACUAUUCUGCAAAAAAUAAAACACUGAUAUUUGAUCAGGACUUCUAGUCACAGAUCCAAAAUACAGCUCCAUGCAAUCUGCUAUGAAAUAUGUUAACUGUAUCAGCCAGAUGCACUGCAUCAGCUGUGUAGAAAAAUUGUAUCUUAAGAACUAGCAAUUCUAGGUAAUGGUUAGUUCCUGUAACAAACCUAUUUGGUGUAGCAUUUAAAAUAGACAACAGUAAUGUCAGUUGAAAGUCAAUCUCACAGAAACGUUUUAAGUGCAUACAGCACUGGUAGUUUGUUCCAGAUGGUUAGCUUCUGGUUAAGGGCUAUGAUCUAAGAAUGAAGGAAAUUACAGAGGAGUGACCAGACAAGUGACCUCUAAACUGAAAAAAUAAAAUUUUAUUUCAAAAG